GAUGAGAGGAUUCGAGUCGGCGGGGUAUGAGUAAUACGUUCAGGCAUGUACCUCGUAUCCCCUUGGCUCGCAAUGCCCUCUCCCU